UACAGAGGUCCCAAGCGUUGUUCGGAUUCACUGGGCGUAAAGGGUGCGUAGGUGGUCGGGUAAGUCUGAUGUGAAAUCUCCGAGCUUAACUCGGAAAUGGCAUUGGAUACUAUUCGGCUAGAGGGUUUGAGGGGGGGACUGGAAUACUUGGUGUAGCAGUGAAAUGCGUAGAUAUCAAGUGGAACACCAGUGGCGAAGGCGAGUCCCUGGAAAACUCCUGACACUGAGGCACGAAAGCUAGGGGAGCAAACAGG
rnacentral:rRNA from 1 species